rnacentral:rRNA from 1 species
AAUCAACGCUGGCGGCGUGCCUAACACAUGCAAGUCGCACGAGAAAGGGGAGCAAUCCCUGAGUAAAGUGGCGCACGGGUGAGUAACACGUGACUAACCUACCCUCGAGUGGGGAAUAACCUAAGAGAAAUCUGGGCUAAUACCGCAUAACACUUACGAGUCAAAGCAGCAAUGCGCGUUGAGGAGGGGGUCGCGGCAGAUUAGCUAGUUGGCGGGGUAAUGGCCCACCAAGGCAAUGAUCUGUAUCCGGCCUGAGAGGGCGCACGGACACACUGGAACUGAAACACGGUCCAGACUCCUACGGGAGGCAGCAGUGGGGAAUUUUGCGCAA